rnacentral:rRNA from 1 species
AGCGAACGCUGGCGGCAGGCCUAACACAUGCAAGUCGAACGAAGUCUUCGGACUUAGUGGCGGACAGGUGAGUAACACGUGGGAACGUGCCUUUAGGUUCGGAAUAACUCAGGGAAACUUGUGCUAAUACCGAAUGUGCCCUUCGGGGGAAAGAUUUAUCGCCUUUAGAGCGGCCCGCGUCUGAUUAGCUAGUUGGUGAGGUAAAGGCUCACCAAGGCGACGAUCAGUAGCUGGUCUGAGAGGAUGAUCAGCCACAUUGGGACUGAGACACGGCCCAAACUCCUACGGGAGGCAGCAGUGGGAAUCUUGCGCAAUGGGCGAAAGCCUGACGCAGCCAUGCAGCGUGAAUGAUGAAGGUCUUAGGAUUGUAAAAUUCUUUCACCGGGGACGAUAAUGACGGUACCCGGAGAAGAAGCCCCGGCUAACUUCGUGCCAGCCGCCGCCGUAAAAC